rnacentral:SRP_RNA from 1 species
GCCGGGCACGGUGGCACAUGUCUGUAGUCCCAGCUAUUCAGGAGGCUGAGGUGGGAGGAUCACUUGAGCCCAGGAGUUCUGGACUGUAGUGUGCUAUGCCCAUCAGGUGCUUGAACUAAGUUCAGCAUCAAUAUGGUGACUUCCUGGGAGCGGGGAACCACCAGGUUGCCUAAGGAGGGGUGAACUGGUCCAGGUUGGAAGCAGAGCAGGUCAAAACUCCCAUGCUGAUCAGUAGUGGGAUCAUGCCUGUGAAUAGCCACUUCACUCCAGCCUGGGCAACACAGCGAGACCCUGUUUU